GUGACGCAGGCCGCGCCGCCCGGGAACUUCCUCCCCUGCAGAGACCACCUCGCUCCCGGGACUCGCCAGCGAGGGAUGCCGCCGGCCGCCGGGGGCCUUCUCCAGGACCAGGAGAGAAAUCCUCUCUCCGCUUCACGACGCGGCCACUCCCACCCCUGAGACGCCCACCUGGCGGACUCUGAGGGAGGAUUCGGCUGCGUCUAAUACCACCUCCACCCCUCAUCCCUCACAAUGCGCGGAAAACCACAGGCGGCUGUGCGCGCAGCGUCGGCUCAGCCACCGCAGCUCCUCCCCUGGGUAAGUUAGAGGGGAGCAGCCACCACUAAAAAUAGCCCUUCUGGGAACUCCUCCGAAGGCCAGGGUCAGGAUGAAGAUAACCCCUCCACAGGAGAAGCGAAGGCCUCCUAAGAGAAGGGUGGGGAGGGGACGGUGGGAUAGAAUGAGGAAGAUGGAGAAGGAGAAAAGCAAAACCCAAUAUCCUUGGAUCAUGAAGCCCUUGAGCCCCUUGACAACCAAGUCUCCUUUCAGGCCGGAAUCCCCAACUGCACCGCCCCUGCAAUACGGGCUAAGGGGCAGAUUCCAGGGAGACUCAGUUGGAAUGCCCCGCCUACAGCUCCCGCAUAAAGGAGUUGACGGUGCACAGCAAAACCACCUGUUGUUUAACGAGUAUGGAGGGAGGGGUUCUCUCUCAUUGAUUGAUCUGAACCGUGCUUUUCUUCUCCCCAUUUUCCCACCCAAUUUCAGGAUGAAAAAGCACUCUGACGUCUUGAAAGCUGGCAGCUCUCUGUUUGGAAAAUCUCUGCCCAGUGAAAAAAUGUACCGACAAGAUUACUAAGUAACACAGUCUUCUGGGAAUGCCUUAUCAAUGCCAGCUAUUUGAAGAGCACCCAAAGUCAAACUAGUGCUCCGCGCUGGCAGUCUGGAAAAGGCAGAUGUAUGUGAGUAGAGAAACUGAUAGACAACUAGUUGCUGGCCAGUUGGCCUGUUUUCGUGCUACAAGCCUUCAGAAAACAGUCGCCUCCUUUUACCACGUUUCUAUUUCUAAACCAAAA
rnacentral:lncRNA from 1 species